rnacentral:rRNA from 1 species
UACAGGGGGGGCAAGCGUUGUUCGGAAUUACUGGGCGUAAAGGGUCUGUAGGUGGCCAACUAAGUCAGACGUGAAAUCCCUCAGCUUAACUGGGGAACUGCGUCUGAUACUGGAUGGCUUGAGUGUGGGAGAGGAAUGCGGAAUUCCAGGUGUAGCGGUGAAAUGCGUAGAUAUCUGGAGGAACACCAGUAGCGAAGGCGGCUCGCUGGGCCACACCUGACGCUGAGACGCGAAAGCUAGGGGAGCGAACAGG